UACGUAGGGGGCAAGCGUUGUCCGGAUUUAUUGGGCGUAAAGAGCGUGUAGGCGGCCAUACAGGUCCGUUGUGAAAACUGGAGGCUUAACCUCCAGACGUCGAUGGAAACCGUAUGGCUAGAGUCCGGAAGAGGAGAGUGGAAUUCCUGGUGUAGCGGUGAAAUGCGCAGAUAUCAGGAAGAACACCAGUGGCGAAGGCGGCUUACUGGACGAUUGUUGACGCUGAAGUGCGAAAGCGUGGGGAGCAAACAGG
rnacentral:rRNA from 1 species